rnacentral:rRNA from 1 species
AUUGAACGCUGGCGGCAGGCCUAACACAUGCAAGUCGAACGAGUGGCGGACGGGUGAGUAAUGUCUGGGAAACUGCCUGAUGGAGGGGGCUAACUACUGGAAACGGUAGCUAAUACCGCAUCCCAUCAGAUGUGCCCAGAUGGGAUUGGCUAGUUGGUGGGGUAACGGCUCACCAAGGCGACGAUCCCUAGCUGGUCUGAGAGGAUGACCGGCCACACUGGAACUGGGAAACGGUCAAGACUCGUACGGGAGGCAGCAGUGGGGAAUAUUGAACAAUGGGCGCAAGCCUGAUGCAGCCAUGCCGAGUGGAUGAAGAAGGCCGUCGGGUAGUAAAGUACUUUCAGCGGGGAGGCGUUACCCGCAGAAGAAGGACCGGCUAACUCCGAGCCAGCCGCCGCGGUAAUUC